UCUCCGUAGGUGAACCUGCGGAGGGAUCAUUACUGAGUGAGGGCCUCUGGCCCGACCUCCAACCCUUUGAUGUCCGACUCUGCUGCCUCGGGGGCGACCCGGCCUUCGGGCCCGGGGCCCCCCGUGGUCCACUCAACUCUGCAUCUUUGCGUCUGAGUAAACAUUAAAUGAAACAAAACUUUCAACAACGGAUCUCUUGGUUCUG
rnacentral:misc_RNA from 1 species